rnacentral:snoRNA from 1 species
CUGUGAAUAUUCUCAUGAUUCUGAAUCUGUAAUAAUCAGACAGGUUAACCGUUUGAUAUAUUGAGAGCAUGCAUAUGUCCCCAAACCUAGUUCUUUCCCUUUGUCUGGAUUAUAAAUGCUGUAUAGCC